UAUGAAAGAACAUAUAUCGUUACAAAAUAAGCAAACUUUAUUAGUAUAAUGUCGGACCAGAAGGAUCCACCUCCAAUCUAGUUUGAUUUUUUAUGGAGAAUAGUUAAAUAAACAAAACAAUUCUGAGUUUGAUCCAUGAACUAGCAAGGUAAAAAAUAACAAAAAGAACAUAGAUGAAAAUUCAUAAUAUGUGAUAGCCAAUCAAUUCCCUUUAAGGCCAUGGUUUCC
rnacentral:lncRNA from 1 species